AUGGAAACUACAAGCGUCAUGGCGCAAAU
rnacentral:sRNA from 1 species